CAGGGAUUGCCCCAGUAACGGCGAGUGAAGCGGCAACAGCUCAAAUUUGAAAUCUGGCUCCUUGCGGGUCCGAGUUGUAAUUUGCAGAGGAUGCUUUUGGCGAGGCGCCUUCCGAGUUCCCUGGAACGGGACGCCGGAGAGGGUGAGAGCCCCGUACCUGUAAAGCUCCUUCGACGAGUCGAGUAGUUUGGGAAUGCUGCUCUAAACGGGAGGUAAACCCCUUCUAAAGCUAAAUACCGGCCAGAGACCGAUAGCGCACAAGUAGAGUGAUCGAAAGAUGAAAAGCACUUUGAAAAGAGAGUCAAACAGCACGUGAAAUUGUUGAAAGGGAAGCGCUUGUGGCCAGACCUGGUCAAUCGUGGGUGCACUCUGCCGCAGGCCAGCAUCAGCUCGUGGCGGGGGAGAAAGGCGGCGGGAACGUGGCUCUGGAGUGUUAUAGUACGCCCCACCGCGGGCUGAGGUUCGCGCUCCGCAAGGAUGCUGGCGUAAUGGCCAUCAGCGACCCGUCUUGAAACACGGACCAAGGAGCGGUCCUAACAUGCGAGUGUUCGGGUGCAAAACCCCUACGCGGAAUGAAAGUGAACGGAGGUGAGAGCUUGGCGCAUCAUCGACCGAUCCUGAUGUUUUCGGAUGGAUUUGAGUAAGAGCAUGUUGGGACCAGCCCGAAAAAGAUGAUCUAUGCUUGGAUAGGGCAAAGCCAGAGGAAACUCUGGUGGAGGCUCGCAGCGGUUCUGACGUGCAAAUCGAUCGUCAAAUCUGAGCAUGGAAAGACUAAUCGAAUCUU
rnacentral:rRNA from 1 species